rnacentral:rRNA from 1 species
UUCGAUGAUACGCGAGGAACCUUACCAAGGCUUAAAUGGGAAUUGACAGGUUUAGAAAUAGACUUUUCUUCGGACAAUUUUCAAGGUGCUGCAUGGUUGUCGUCAGCUCGUGCCGUGAGGUGUUAGGUUAAGUCCUGCAACGAGCGCAACCCCUGUCACUAGUUGCCAUCAUUAAGUUGGGGACUCUAGUGAGACUGCCUACGCAAGUAGAGAGGAAGGUGGGGAUGACGUCAAAUCAUCACGGCCCUUACGCCUUGGGCCACACACGUAAUACAAUGGCCAGUACAGAGGGCAGCUACACAGCGAUGUGAUGCAAAUCUCGAAAGCUGGUCUCAGUUCGGAUUGGAGUCUGCAACUCGACUCUAUGAAGCUGGAAUCGCUAGUAAUCGCGCAUCAGCCAUGGCGCGGUGAAUACGUUCCCGGGCCUUGUACACACCGCCCGUCAAGCCAUGGAAGUCUGGGGUACCUGAAGUCGGUGACCGUAAUAGGAGCUGCCUAGGGUAAAACAGGUAACUAGGGCUAAGUCGUAAC